ACUCUUAGCACUGCCAGCCCAAGAAGCUGCAGUUCCCGGGGGAGACGUUGACCGAGGUCUCGGCAUCGAAGCAGAGAUCUGGCCGCCGGGCCUUCCAGGGCUCCCGGGUCGGGUGCCGGGAUGCCCGGCUCCUUGAGCCCGGGCUGUGGGAGAGGCCCUUCACCCUGCUCCGGGCUGGAGGCACAAGGUGGAACUGUAAACCAGAGAAAGGAAAAGUUUUCGGCAGGUAGAGGGAAGGGCAGAGUAGCCGCGGCGAUCCGCUGUCCCCGGGGGAGGGUGGGGGGCCCAAGCCCGCAGUCCUGGCGCGCUCCUGUCCGCUAGCCCUCCCGCCCGGGUUGUUUACAUUCCUGGAGUGUCUUUUAAACCGGAGGCUGUGGCCGGCUCCUGGCCUUCUCCCGCGGCUUCGGGGCAGUCUCCCGUGAAAAUCUGCUGGCGCACAAUGGCCGGGAGAGGAGGCCGCCCCUCUCCCGCGCCCCCACCGCUCCAGGGCGGGGAGCCUGCCCUCUGCACCGCGCCCUCUCCCCGCCUGGCCAGCUUCCUGGACAGAUGUCUCCGGCCAGGGGGCGACGCGCUCCCGCAGCCUGCACCGCGACACCGAGGCCGUGCUCCCCACUGUUUUCUCCCUGGCCCUGACGCCAGGAAUGUGAAACAAGCUUUCUGAGCUUCCCUCCCACAAUCCGGACCGAGCUUCAGCUCCGGCCCGGCCCCUCAAUCUCCUCCCGGGUCGGCCUCCCACUCCCCCGGGGCCACCGCCGCCGGAGACAGAGAGGAAGAAAGAACACGGGGAAAUUACUUUCGUAUUUGCAACGCGCGCGCACACACACACAGACACAUCUUCCCCUUGGGCUCGCCUCCCGACUGGGGCAGCCCCGGCCAGGCGUUGGCCUGAAAGCCCCUUCGGCUUCCGAAGCCCGAACGAGAAGCCUCGACACAUCUCUUCAACGUGUCCUGCUUCAGCCACGCGCCGCGUUUCCCUGGGCUAUUCUCCCCCCAAAACAACUUAACCGCGCCCCCAUCUCCCAUGUACAAAAGUGUGUUCUCCAUAGAAAUUCGGAGGCACAACUUAACACCACCAACCCUUGCCACCCUAGAAUCCAGCGCCUUCCCGGAGGUUCUCCUACGCACACAGGAGCACAACUUCACAUCUUUCCAAAAGAGGCAAGGGAGAAGCAGCCAGUCCUUCCCGGGUCCUCUCCUCCCUCCUCCGAAUCCGUAUCCCGGCUGGCUCCCGACUGAUCGGAGCGACGGCUGGGAGGCGCGCCGGCAGGAGGCGGGCACCGAGUCCGAGCGCACAACCGCACCGGCGCCCCGUACACCCGAAGAACCCCGGGUCCCCGCGCUCAUCCGGAGCCGCUCUACACAAGCUGGGCGCUCGCUGGUGGCCAGAGCCUCCGCCCCCGGCGGCCAGAGCAGCGGGCCGAGCCUGCACGGCUGGCUUCUUUCGCCCGGCCAGAGCUAAACCUUUAAGAGGAAAGCCCUAGUAUAGUACACGGCGCUCGCACCCCGAUGAUCCGCCGGGAGCGGGUGGAAGCCUCGGUGUUAACGGGCGCUUGGCUCUGUCCCCAAACUUACCGGGCGCUGCGAGCACCACUGCCACCGCUGGAGGACGCGCCGCCGCCACCGCCGUGUAGGGCAGGCUGGAGCCGGGAGGAGCGCAGCGAGAGCGCGGAAAUCCACUCGGCUCCGACUCCGGCUCCGGCUCCUCACCGGCCGGGGCUAGGGUCAGCGCGCUGCGCGGGCGCUGCUCGCUUGCUCUGCAGCCGGAUCGCUGCUCGCCCGGCCGGCAGCUUGCUCUCCCGGGCGCCCGCCGCCGCCGCCGCUCGCUUUUUUAAUGUCCACAGACAGUGAAAAGGAACUCGGCGUUAGGGGGCAGCCACGGUGUCGGAGGCGAGGCGAGGAAGGGAGCUGGAAUAACAAAGGGCCAGAGAGAUCACUCCUUCCAUCACCAAGACAAGAAGGCAAAAUGCGUUUGCUCGCUUUGAAUCCAUUCUCAAAGCUGUGACUGUCUGGCAGCUGAGAACUCAGCCUGGAAUUCCUGAGGGUAGACUGCAGCUCAGGUCCACAGGGACAUUGGGCAAGGGUAUCUGGGUGCGGGGGGGGGGGGGGGAAGCUACCUUUCUGGAGGCAAAUUCUGACUCCUGCUGCUUUCGGGUGCAAGUGGGGGUGGGGUGGGGGCGGUGCUCAUUUCUGGCCUCAGUCCUCGGACCUGUCACAAGAGAUGAACUGUUAGCAACUUGCUCCACCACCCACCCACAGGUGGCAGCUGAGUAUCCCCGGGGAAAGUGGGUGGCAUGAAAUCACUUCCAGACCUCUAGGGACACUGGAAUGGCCUGGUCCCAGUACAUUUACAACAACAAGAAGAAUACCUCCCCCGACUCCACCCCAGCUUGUGGAUGGCCCGGGUUGGGCAGGGCAGUCUGAGAAAUCCUGGAAAGCUGGACUUGAAAGAUGAGAAAUCAGUUUGCUGAAGAAGCCACAGGCAUCCUGCUCUCAGGCACAGCAUCAGCACACCCAGGAGGCCACCACCGUCCUCAGCACCAAAGCCCCUGUCAGCCUUAAGAUGCAAGAAUAGACCCAAACAACAGCAGGGCCAGCUCCCGUUCCCUUGAUGACCACCAAGUCAGGGCACUCAGCUCUGUGGGUCUUUCUCCAAAUUUGUAAGUAACCUGAGCUAGUCACCUCUAAGAAGUGGAGAAAAUGGUGACCUAUGGUGAACAUUCAUGUUCAAAAGCUCCUGCCCAGAAGAAGGCCUGUCCCAUCCCCUUUCUUUAAAAAAUUACAUCUCGUUUAUUUAUUUAUUUGAGGGGAGGGACACACAUGAAGAUCAGAGGACAACUUUGAGGAAUCAUUUCUCUUUUUCCACCAAUGUAGGUCCUAGGGAUUGAACUUGGAUCCUCAGUCUUGAUAGGGUGUACCAAUGGUGAGCCAUCUUGCUGGUACCCAACCCCUUAUUUCUAGCCUACAUGUACACCUGGAAAUCCAGAAGUAGCUGCAGAGGCUGGAGGAGUCUAGCAGGACAGAGCCCAUGUUGCUUUCAGCCUUCCCCGCCCACCAAGCAUGACAGCUUGAGGGCAGUAAAUCUAAGAACUCACACCCAGGCCUCUUCUGAGGGCCCACACCUGAAGCACUGGGAUUCCCAGGCCCUCCUUAUCUCUGUUUCUCUGCUCAAGGGGUUACUGGGCCAGCUGGCCCCCUCUGGAGUCCUAGAAGGGAUGGUUUAUUUAGUGCCUACUGUGUGCUGAGUGAGGACAUCAUGACAUUCACUUACUGCCUGCAGUUAGGGACACUACUGUCCCCUCCAGAGGAAAGUGAACUGUCAAUCUUGUCCACAUGCUGCUCAGACUCUCAUUAACGAGGCAUCUUGUUAGCCAGCCACUCUGCAUUCUUAUCCAGAAAUUCUGUGUAGCCCUGGGCAAGUUGUUCUCCCUUUCUGAGCCCUCUGUAAACUAAAGGCUAAGUCUCAUAACAC
rnacentral:lncRNA from 1 species